CCUACGGGAGGCUGCAGUGAGGAAUAUUGGUCAAUGGACGAGAGUCUGAACCAGCCAAGUAGCGUGAAGGAUGACUGCCCUAUGGGUUGUAAACUUCUUUUAUAUGGGAAUAAAAUGUUCCACGUGUGGGAUUUUGUAUGUACCAUAUGAAUAAGGAUCGGCUAACUCCGUGCCAGCAGCCGCGGUAAUACGGAGGAUCCGAGCGUUAUCCGGAUUUAUUGGGUUUAAAGGGAGCGUAGGUGGAUUGUUAAGUCAGUUGUGAAAGUUUGCGGCUCAACCGUAAAAUUGCAGUUGAAACUGGCAGUCUUGAGUACAGUAGAGGUGGGCGGAAGUCGUGGUGUAGCGGUGAAAUGCUUAGAGAUCACGAAGAACUCCGAUUGCGAAGGCAGUUCACUGGACUGCAACUGACACUGAGGCUCGAAAGUGUGGGUAUCAAACAGGAUUAGAUACCCUUGUAGUC
rnacentral:rRNA from 1 species